GCGUCACUAGUGCAACGGGUUAGAGCACGCGCUCCCGAAUAGCGUGUGAUGCGGGCUCGAGUCCCGCCUGACGCG